GUGAAAGAAAUGAAUGAAUAUGAAUUAGGGAAAAUUAGCUAUGUUUUAAAUUUAGUUGGGACAUCUAUUUGUUGGCAAUUUUACACAGUUGGUUCAGUAGGGUUAAUAUUUAAAGUGUCUUCAUUAUUUUCAAAUGUAAUUAGUAUAUUAGGUUUGCCUGUGGCUCCUGCUUUGGCUGUGAUGUUUCUUCAUGACAAGUUGAGUGGUAUUAAAGUGAUGUCAAUGGUGUUGGCAAUUUGGGGAUUUGUGUCAUAUAUGUAUCAACAUUAUCUUGAUGAUCUAAAGGAAAAGGC
rnacentral:misc_RNA from 1 species